rnacentral:lncRNA from 1 species
AACAAACACAAAAAAACACAAAAAAAAACAAAAAAAAAAAACCAAAAACAAAACAAAUUAUGUCUUUAAAAACUAAAGCCGCACAGGAGGAGAUAAAGACUGAAUCUUUGAAAUACUUUGCAUGGAUAUCCCAUCUUGAGAGUGUCAUGGGGCCCUAAUGCCAACUCGCAGAGCCAGCUGAGGGCAGGUCCCGCAGACCUCACUGCAGAUUCUCUCCUACAGUAAAAACAUGUAGACUUGGCUCUGUAGAAGCCCCUUCUUUACUGAAAGCAGAAGACUGCGUUUCAAGGAAAGGCUCAUAGGAGAACAAGGAGAUGAAGUGAGUCUAGAAAGGUCGUUGAGCUGCACGGUCUUUCGCAGGGACGUAGUGAGAAACCAGGUAUUCCACCGCGUUUUGGCCCUGAGUUUUGAGAAAUCAUUGCUCGGAGAAAAAUGUCGUGGAAAUACAAAAUAAGAAAGACCAGCCGCAAAGCCUCUGCCAGCUUUCAAGUGCAAAAGAAGAGUUGAAUUUCCAGGAGACAUCCAAUAGAAGUGGCCCAGAAAACAGACAAGUGAAGAAACACAGCAUGGCAGGACCUAGAAGAUAGAGAAGAUGGCCAGAAAUUCCUGGGAAAGAAGACAGGGGUCUAAUAGCCCACGUUAAGUUGAACUGCUGGGAUGUGAGCCCCUCCUUCACCCUAACAUCCAGUGAAACCUUGCUAUGGAGAUUGAGCUCACUUCUACAUCAGCAGAGUAAGGUUACUGCAACGAUUUGGGAUCUUUGAAGGAAUAUCUACAAUGUUGUCACACAUUCUAGAAAACCUGCUUUUCAAAGGGGAAAACCCAUAUAACUAUUAGAGACUGAGGACUAGAGAAAA